AGACGGUCACUGUGCCGCUGGUUCCAACUGGUCUGCCGGUAUAGCCACGCUUCCCCCCCGGGUUUGACCAACAUUACCUGACGUUGCUGUGAGCUGCUGUGGGAGUCCUGGUGUCCCCCGGUUGGUGGUUUCCCAAUUUUUCCCCAAAACCCAUACUGUCACUGUUGAGGUCCAGCACUGAUCAGGCUUGCGGGGACCAGAGGUGGCCAUUCCACAUCUGAGCUCAGCUGGAACCACGGCAAUGAAAGAUGAUGCCACUCUAAUACACACUUAGGCUGAGGAGGGGAGAGAGAGAGCGCGAGCGGCGCCUGAGGACAACAGACCGCAUCCUUCCUUCCUGCGAGGCAACAUGGGGACAGGAAGGGCCACCAGGGAGGUCACUUGGCUGAGAACUCACUUCCUGUCAAGGUCGCCAGAGAUCAGGGUCUAAGUACAUCCGGGUUGCAGAAGAAGCCACCUGUCUCUGAUUGUCUCCCUAUGAUGUUAACCUCAAUGGCAGCCAGGUGGGAAAUGAAUGCUGCGAGAGGGGGCUGGACGCAGGAGAAGGAUGGCGUCCGUGGGGGUGAGGUGGCAUUAAUCGAGAGGAAUCCAAAACGUCCGUCUGACAAAAGGGAGCGCACGCAACCUCCUACUUUGUCCUCCUGCCUGACGACCACACAAAGAAAAUACAGUUCUGCCUGAAGAAAAUGUGUGAGCAGCAAAAACAGCAGGCCGUUGAAUCUGGCGUAAUGCUGGAAUAUCCUACUCCCUCUCGGACUCCAGCCCGGCAACUAAACACUCCAGCAGCCCAAGACUGAGUGAGGCGGAGUGAGAUUAACAUGAGCCUGAGUCAUUAUGCUGUUCAUGAGCCGUGUCCAAAGAAACAACUUUUAUAGCACCUGUAACACAGCAGCUAAUCUGUCUGACACCCCUGACAAUAUAAACACACAUGCACACAGCACGACUACUGCUGGCUUUGCACAUACAGAAGGCAGCCACAGGUAUUUGAUUUAGCCAAAUAGUGUUUGUUUAAAAUGCACCGCUACAUGUUUGCUGUUCUUUCCCUUUCCGGAAUGGUCUCGUAUGAGCAAAAAGCAAUGACAGGGUAGCAUGCACUCACAUUAUGCCAGACCCUUCUCUGUCUCCACCAACACACCACCAUCUCUGUCCUGCCCAUCAGUCAGUCCCAGUGCUAAUCAGUUAAAAUAAAUCCAAUAAACCAAAACACAGACCCCCACAUUUAAUUACAAGAAUUGGGAUCUUGGAGGAGAGCACACUCUCCCAGCACACAUACUGCCCCUUUUUACUGCACUAAUUGCAGCCCCAGUGAUUAUAUAAUUUAACUGUAUUUAACCACAUUAGAAAAAUGGUGUGCACGACCGGGAGUGAACAUAAUCUUCGGGAAGAGGACAUGUAUAUAAUUGGAUAAUUUUUGAUUCACAGACCGAUAACCGUGCAGAGUGAAGGAAGCAAACCCGUCCACGUCGGCCGUACCAUAGUCUUCUCAUUAGGCCCAGUCAAAGAAAGCCUUGUGGUGAGUUUGCCCUGAGCUGACUACACUGCUCUGUGAGUGAGAGGACAGGAAUGAUAGUGUUCCCAGGAAAAAACCUGGGUUAAAAGGUCACCAGUGAUUAUCGCACUCAUGAUUCGAUGUGUAAAUUCUUGUAAAUGCGGAACGCGUCAGAAAAUUGGCAAAGCAAAACAAAACGAUAAGAUAUAAGACGAGAUAUGCUGAACUGAAAUGAGUAAUCCAGUGUGUAUUUCUUUAAUUUGUUUGUUUUGUCUUCUGAACUUGACUUGAUUCAAUUGUGUUUACCAACACUUUAAAUUGCAAUACAGUGACAACAUAGUUUUAUGGUAAUACUUUUGUAAUGGGAAGUUAAUACUGUCUUAUUUGAGUAGCAGAGACUCUUGCACACUGUCUAAACUUGCAAGAAGGAUUUUAUGGUUGCAAUGUUUUGUUUCAUCAGCCUUGA